UACCUGGUUGAUCCUGCUAGUAGUCA
rnacentral:rRNA from 1 species